CCCUACGGGGUGCAGCAGGCGCGAAAACUUUACAAUGCCGGCAACGGCGAUAAGGGGACCUCGAGUGCCAGGUUACAAAUCUGGCUGUCGUGAUGCCUAAAAAGCAUUGCAUAGCAAGGGCCGGGCAAGACCGGUGCCAGCCGCCGCGGUAA
rnacentral:rRNA from 1 species